UUGGCUGGGCAGCUGGCGUAAAGCACACAUGUGGCAGUGGGGCUGGGUGGCUUUGGAGGAAAGAUUUAUCAUAACAUUGUUUGUUUUACUGAAUUAUAUAGAUUUAUGUUUCAGUUUUUAAUGAGCAAUCACUGCUAUUUCAGUUUCCAUUUUUAGUUUUGAGUUAGAUUAUUUAAAUUAAGAAGUAAAUACAUUACCCCCCUUCCAUAAAAUCUUUUCAGCCUCAUGCCCUCUUCUCACACUGGUAGCCUCUUUUUCUUUGAGUGUUUUUGUUAAAUAUGUGUGUUUGUAUAUGUAUGUAUGUAUGUAUGUAUGUAUAAAUGUAAACUGCUGAAUCCAUUCAGCAAGCUUUUGUAUAUGAUAUCAGGGAUAAUAAACUUGUAUGAAAAAAUAGUUCACUAAUUACCUAAUUUUCAAGAUUAUUUUUAUUUAAUAUUUUACAUUAUUCGACAUCUAAGGAAGCACAUGUUUUGUUCCUUUGGUGAGACAAAUGUUUUUCUGUUCAGUCACUUGAUAUUACUAAUUUACGGUGUCAUGCAUUUUUCUUAGGAGUGAAAUAUGUCAUACUGUGUCUCUUUGUAUUUUAUAUGCUGAAGCUACUUUGUAAGGAUCAAUAAAGUAAAUCAUAUUAUUCAGCCAUUAGAAUGCUUAUUAACAAUUCGGAGACCUCGCUCUUUAAUCAUAGUAACUCUUCCCCAACCUUUACACACCAAAUUUGUACAUUAGGUUUCUAGAGUCAUACUUCAGGAUGGUGUCCAUAAAAAUGACUUUAGAGUUUAUUCAACAUGCAGUGAGUCUUUGGAGAAGUAUCUGAGGAGAAGUAAAUGCCCGUCAAACAUGUGAUCUGAGCGUUGCACAAAACAGGAGUCAAUAAAUAAAUAAUAAAUAAUAAAGCAAUAAAAAAUAUACUUUUUAUUCAAGUCCAGAGUGAGAAAGGUGCAAGAAAUCAAUUGUAUCUGUUGCCUAAGGGCACUGGAGUUCUGCAUUACAAAUUAGGAUGUUGGCUUCAUCUCAGUAAUCAUUAAAAUAAAUGGCAACAACUACUUUGGCCUGACUCUUAAUACAGACAGGGACACCUGAAAGUAUAUCAGAACAUUUUCAGAUGACUGAUUUGAAUAACAAACAGUUAUGAGGGAUGGUAAAGGAAAAUGAUUGGGCAUCAGAAUUAGUAUGUUGUUAGUUUAAGUUAUCGUCUAGGACUAACUAUCCUUUCCCUGGUAGUAUGGAAAGGAAGCUCUGUCAAAUGCAAACUCGAAUUCAGUUAUUGUAGGUGCUGCUCUCAGGAUCUUAGAUUAAACAUUUGAAUAAUGUAUAAGUACUUAUCUUGAUUUGAAUUGGGGUUUUAUAAUGUCCACUUGUGCUGUUGGAAUGAACAGUGCUAAUACCACGAAGAAAAUGCAUUUUCUAUUUAUUCAUUUUGUUUAGAUGAACUAUCACUCUAUCAAUAAUUGAUUUUACAAAAUGGAAAAUAUUACCAAGGGAUUAAGAAGAGGCUUGGGGAAUGCAUUCAUUAUCCUGGCAGCCCGCCACCACUGGCACUGUGUCACUUAAAGCUGCCAACCUGCCCUUCACUGGGGAUGGUUACUAGGAAUCCUGUUGCCACUAGUGCAGCCAGAGUCCAGUUUAAAAUCUGUGAAACUAAAUUGCUAAUAAUUUAUUACAUAAAAUGAUAAGCAGUAAUUUACUACUUGGAAGACCUUUUUGAUCGGUGUAUGUGUCUAUAUUUUAGAACAGAUUAAAUCAUAGGAAGCAUCACACACACACACACACACACACACACACACACACACACAUGACUCAAGAAUUCAAGGUUAGAUAAGUAAACCUGUCUCUCCAGAGUCCCAUGUAUUAUAAGAAACCAAUGGGUAUCCAUGAAACUAGUAGGCUUCUGCCCCCUGCAGAGUUACUGUUCUCUGUAAAUGGUAGAGUAAUACCUGCUGCUUACUUGAGUCUCAAACUGAUGAGUUUACCUGGAAAAUGUCAUUUGUGUUUUUAUAAGUGGGUGCAGUUUUUUUUUUCUAAAAACAACUUACAUUUUACAUGAAUGUUCAUUGGGCAGAUAAUAGGAUAAGAAAAAUACAGCACAAUGCCAAAGUUUAUAUUAAGCAACCAUAGUUUAGUGUGGAUAAUAAAGAAUCACACUGAAUUCUAAUAGCAGCUCAGGGUAUUUUGGCCAGUUAUCCAAUCACAUUUCUCUUCUUAGAACAUAUUUCUUUCUUUUUCUUUUUGUUUGCUGUCUGUUUUUUGCUUUGUUAUUUUUCUUCUUUAAAAAACAUUGAAAAUCAAUUCUUUUCUCAAACAAUGCAUACCAACUACAGUUUCUACUCUCCCCAGCUUCCUCCCACCUACCCCACCUCUCCCCAUGUCUACUACCCCUUCACUUCCUCUUCAGAAAAAAAAAACAUGCCUCCAAGGGAGGACAGCCAAAUAUUACAAAACAAGAUACAGGAAGACAGGAUAAAGUCAUCAUAUCAAGUUUGGGCAAGGCAACCCAACAGGACAAAACUAGUCCCAAAGCAGGCAUCAGUCAGAGUCACACAUGCUUCCAAUGUUGCAAUCUACAAAAAACAUCAGACUAACCUUGUACCAUGUAUGCAGAUGACCUGGUGCAGACACAUGCAGGUUCCAUACUUGUAUUUUAGUCUCUGUGAGCCCAGGUGAGCCCUGCUAUGUUAUUCAGUUGGUCUUGUUUUUCUGGUGUCCCCUACACCCUCUAACUCCUACAUUCUUUCUUCUCUCUGCCACAGGGAUUUCCAAACACUGAGAAGAGACCCCUCAUUGAGGCCACCAAUUUAGACUCUUCAUAAUGUCUUCCUGUGGGUCUCUGCUACAGCUCAUAUCUGUUGUUGGGGAAGCCUCUCUGAUGGUGAAUGGACAAGGCACUGAUCUAAGAGUAUAGAAGAGUCUUCACAAAGGUCACCUUCAUAUUGGAAGUUUCCACUGCACAUGAUUUAACUUGAGGUCUAUACCAGGAGAAGGAUCCCAUAUCCUACACUGCCUGGAUGAUCAGGAACCAUAGACUGAACAGCCUGUGGUAGAAUCAGAGACCUAAGGAUGUGCAACUGUUGCAAGAUGCCAUGAACAAGAUGACUUCCUCUUACUCCUAGAACCACACGCAGAAUUGCACGGAUACUUUCCUCUGAGUCUCCAGCUCCAAGUCCUGAGAAGCCAAAUUCAGGGAGAAGAUGUCCAGGAGACCAUGGCUAGAAGCCUUCUCCAAGGCAGGAAUGACAAAGACAUUAGAGUCAGCAUGUGAUCUACUUAGGCUAUUGUAUAUGGCUUGCAAGCCUUUGCAGGCCCUUGUCCAGAAUAGGAAGCCUAGACAUCAUGUCCCUUGCUCAUAACUUCCUUCUCUCUGCUCCUUAUAUUCUGGCCAGUAACCAGCCUGAGUCCCCUCUCCCUGAAAUUGUCCACAGUAUUACUCAAACUCUGUGCCUCAGCUUAAUGGGCUCUUCUGACUGCAUUACCCCCUCCAUUAGCAUUAUGACAAAUUCUUGUGUUCCAGAAAGUUACAACUGUCACCCAGUCAAUCUACAGGAUUGAGGAUAUGCAUGUCCCCAUCAGGGGAGUAUCUGUCCCUGUAGAUUUGUGGUGACUGCUUCUCUUCUGUCCAGCUUUAUCUCUGGCAACUGACAAAAAUGUUCAGCAAAACAUUGGUGCUGGGGAAAAAUCUAUGCAGAACAAAAGAAAGAAAUGGCCAUAACGACAUAGUGUAAAUGUUCAAAUAUGAAGAAUUAUAGGAGUAGUGAAAGAAAGGUGAAGAAUUUGUAGAUGAAGGAUAUGGAGUGGAAGCUGGAGAUAUGUUUCUAAGACAAAGAGAUAAGAGCAGAACAGGACAAGACAAGAGGAAAGCAUGAGGUUGUUGAAAAAUCUGUUACUACAGAUAACGUGCAGGACACUAUAAAUAUGUUAAACACUGAAUUGCCUAACUAAAGUAAUGGUUGAAAAAUAUGCUAGUGUAGUUAAAAACAAUAUACUUAUAAAAUUUUAAUAUUCUGAGAAAGUAACUUACAAAGUCGACUUCAUAAAAUGCCAGUAUACUUAAGUCAUUGAAUACAUUGACAGAUUUUUAAGAAAAGUAAUGCAAUUCUGUCAUGUGGAAAUUUUUCUUCAAACUGGAAAGUAAGUAAUCUUUUGUUGCAUAUAGUAUUUAUAUUACAGAGCUAGAAUAAUUGCCUAUUGACACUGCCACUUUGUAUGUGCGGGAUGUGUGUGAAUGUUUAUUCUGUGAAGAGAUGAGAUCUUUGUGUCAGAAAUAUGGCAAAUAAACAUGAGGCUAUUACUGAUAAAAGUCACUAAAUGUCAUUGUUUUAUACAUAACUUCAAAGAUACUAGACUAUCUUUGUUGUAGUUUUCUAACAGAUGAUAAUUAUAAGUCACAAUUGGCACAGAAAAAAAAAUAAGACCAUUACAGUUUUUACAUAUAUUAUCUAAACAUCUACUUUCUCCUUACUGGCUGUAAUUGUGAUGAUCUCUUUUAAUCUGAGUUACUUCUGAUUGUGUGUGUUGUUGCAAAGUGAGUUCCUGGGACAUUUCAGCAUCUAUUGUUAAAAUCUCUGGAGAAGCAAUAAUGAUCAUGUAAUUAUUGUUCGUCAACAGUUUGACUAUUAUAUAUCAUUUACAGUCAAUUUAAUUAAAAAGCUCACUGAA